GCCCCUUUGCCCUAACUUUGGUGGCGGUUCGAUCCCUCCUUUUGCCCUAGCUUUGGUGGCGACGCAGAAGCUGCGAUCCGAGGACGGAGGACGUCGGUUAGGGCGAUUUCAGUCCAGGUGUAUAGUAGAUGUGUUUGAGAGACACUCAACGUCUUUGUUGACCUCUGUUUGGUGAGUAGAGGUGAUAUUUAUCGUCAAAGGAAUCUCACACAAUCUGUUUUAAUAAAUAUGAACAUCUUUAGACGGGGGGGA